UGAAGCCGGAAUUGCUAGUAAUGGCAGGUCAGCACACUGCCGUGAAUACGUUCCCGGGCCUUGUACACACCGCCCGUCACACCAUGAGAGUUGGGAAUACCCGAAGCCUGUGAGCUAACGUUAAGAGGCAGCAGUCGAAGGUAGAAUCAAUGAUUGGGGUGAAGUCGUAACAAGGUACC
rnacentral:rRNA from 1 species